GAUGAAGAACGUAGCGAAAUGCGAUAAGUAAUGUGAAUUGCAGAAUUCAGUGAAUCAUCGAAUCUUUGAACGCACAUUGCGCCCGGCAGCAAUCUGCCGGGCAUGCCUGUCCGAGCGUCAUUUCUUCCCUCGAGCGCGGCUAGCCCUACGGGGCCUGCCGUCGCCCGGUGUUGGGGCUCUACGGGUGGGGCUCGUCCCCCCCGCAGUCCCCGAAAUGUAGUGGCGGUCCAGCCGCGGCGCCCCCUGCGUAGUAGAUCCUACAUCUCGCAUCGGGUCCCGGCGAAGGCCAGCCGUCGAACCCUUUAUUUCAUGGUUUGACCUCGGAUCAGGUAGGGUUACCCGCUGAACUUAAGCAUAUCAAUAAGCGGAGGA
rnacentral:misc_RNA from 1 species